CAGGGUUCCGCCCCGCUCCCUCGGGCCCGCCCUUCCGGCUCCGGUUUGGGCUGGGUUUUCCCCCCUCUCCUGGCUCCCACCUGCCCCACCCAGCUGUGGAGCCUCCUCUGGUCUAUUCUUUGGAGGUGUUAGCUGCUCCCUUUUCCACUGAUGUCCUCUUUUGGCCCAGAGAGGAUGCCAAACCGAGGCUGCCCGCAUAAGCGUGAAGGGAGGUGGACAGGAAUGAAAUAGGAAGGUCCUUGCUUGGAGGAGCCCCAUUUAUGAUGGAGCACAGGGCCAGGUCUUGAACCCGUGGGCUGAAAUGACCUCCUGGCUCAGACUCCCAUUUUCUGAAACUGCAGGCAGAUGCCAGCAUACCUAGCUAGUGUUUCUCACUUUAAGCACACAUUUUUUAACAUGUAAAUAUCUCUGAAAUCUGAAUGCAUGUGAUCAUAGUUCACUUUUUAGAGAGGUCCAAAAGACACAAAAAACAAUGUUGUUUUUUUCUGAUGGCAUCUUACAUAGCACAAUGCAUAACAUAUUGUAUUAUAAUAGAUAAUGAAUCUUUAUCCCCUA